rnacentral:lncRNA from 1 species
AUGAUCAGUGCAAUCCACUUGAACUCUAUCAUGUUUUGGUCUAUAAGUUCAGGAUGGUAUGUCAUAAUAAAUAAACGUGGUGAAUACAAUCAAUCGGAUGAAAGGAGCUGCUUUAUCCACUGCUACUAUUACACUAGCAUGUUUUGGUUCUCGCAGCUACGAAUGUUUUAUUUUUUAAGCAUUAAAACUAAUGUUUCGCUUGAGAUUGUGGGCAAAAAGGCCUGGCAUAUCUCUCACUAAAGUUUCAUUUGAUGAAGACUGAUGACUCCUUAGGAAGGGAACCUCCUUUACCAUCAUAAUUUUUGGUAUUUACACUCUUACUCUCUCAGUCAGCUCUGCACAGGUUCUCGUCAGCCCCAAAAACAUUCAUUUUGCAGAUUCAAGAUGAAUUGAAUGUUGUAAUCACUCCCUGUCAGAGAUCUCAUUUUUCUAAUUUUAAAAUUUAAAUCAUCAUCUUUUUUAAUGAUGUCAGCACUUCCUUUUUUUAGAAAUCAUGUUGAUGUAAGAGUAAACAAUUUUUAUUUAUUAUUUCCAAGAUCUUUGCUUCUUUCCACCUAUUUCUCCUGUUAAAUUUUUUUAAAAUAAUUCAGAAUACCUGGGGCAGGGAAUUUUAAAUAUGGUAUUAUGUAAUCGGUUUUAGGCAACAUAUUAUUAAAACGAAUUCUAAGAAAUAAAAAGUAUUCAAUACUCAUAUACUCUUCCCUAAAGCACUACUGAACAAUCCUGAUAACUUGUUUUUUGGGCGUUUUCGAAGCAGCCAAUAAAUGAACCUAAAUGCUCAUUAUUUUGUGAGUUUGUAAAUAUCUUUGUGUGCAGCUCGGUUACAAACUGUGGGGAAGCGUUUGCUCUUCAACACUUGUUAUUAAAGUCGUACGACUGAGGAUCUUUAAAAUCUGCUGCAGUUAAAGAAAUUAACUGCUUUUAUGAUUCUUACGGAAGAAAAGUUGAAACUCCUAAAAUUUUGUCAUCUUCAUUUUUUUGGGGGCUUUUGUGACCACAAAAGAAUGUAAGGUAUUUGGACUGGGAAAGAUCUUUUCUAAAGACUUUGGAAGCUGAUAAUUUUCCUCCUAUAUUGUUUUGCUCCUAUUUUUGGGACGAAGAGGGGGAGGAGGGGGCCAAAGGAAACUUUCUUCGAGAAGCAAAACGCACUAGCGCGGAAAGUUGCGUAUUAGCACAACUUUGAAGCCUUCCUUAGGGUUUUUUCUGAAACAAAUUUUUUGAGGUUGCACCUUGUGGUUUUGUAAAAGAUUGCGUAUUUAAUUCAUGCGUUUUUAACCGAUUCUACCGUACUUUUCAGGUAUGACGAAAAUCGGCCAGAGCCCUAAUUUUUUGCGCCCAAACUCACACUUAGUGAAUAAUUCUUAAAGGUAGUUCUUCAAUUAUCUUUGGAUCAAAACAUUUUUAAGCCCCCCCUCCCACGCGCCCUUAGACGCAUAGGUAUGGGUGGAUUUCAGCUAAUGGGAGAAAAUGGUCCUGAAAAAAGUUGGAAAGUGAUUUGGCCGUAUCAAGCUGAGAACUACUUUUCUGUUAUCUUAGAGCUCCAUACUAUAGGAUUUAAUCACGUGCACCGCAAUAUUUUUACGAUUAUUACUCUUUACCAAGCCUGACAUGUCAGUUUGCUUUGGACGUGUCAGGUUUGGUGACAUCACUAAACCUGACAUUUUGCUGUUAUUAAUUUUUCCUGCCAAUUUACAAAAACAAAAUCAAACGAAUUAUUGAGGUUAGGUCAAGAGGCCACCUGUAAAUGUACGAGAAAAAUAUUUGCUCACAUAUUCCUUGCAUAUUCCACCAAAAGUUUUGAUGGAAAACAGCGUCACCAAACUGACAUUGAGUAAGUGAGACACUCCAAAAACCAUGGAAAAAACUGAGAUCAUGCUGAAAUUGGAAGAAAUAUGUAGACUUAUCAAGUACACGUCUGUUCGUUCUCCACUUCCGCACUCAGUCAUGCCUUAAUCCGCACAAAAGUGCUAUCUCUUGAGUGGCCACAAACUAAAACACAUAGCGUCACCAAACUGACAUAAUAUUGAGUUACUUGUUUCAAGUCUCAAAUUAAAUUAAAUAAUAUAGUUUUC